UUGGAUAUCCCGGUGAGACACGAGCUCGAGUUGUUUAUAUGGCUUCUCAAAUGAAUCGAGACGCAACAGAAUGUUUUCGUUUGCUGAUUUGAAUAGAAUUCUUAACCAAGCAUAACGUCAUUAGGAAUUCUAUUCAAGUAAUUUUGCAUGCGUAAUUAAGAUAUUUGAUGAAAACACUAGUGACUUUCAUCAGGUAUCCAAAUGGCAUCUUGUGAUCAAAUAGGUGAUUAUCAUUGGCUGAAUUACUCAUGAAUUAUUAAUGAAUUUGAGAAGUUUAGAUGCCGCUUAAUUGUACAAAUUUACUGUGUUAUUCCAUAGUCGGUUGCAAUGUUUGAAUUUUCUUGUUCAAACUUUAAUGUUCUGGUUGCCACAUCGGAAAAACUAGUAAGAACUUGUUAAAAACAUUCUAAAAGAGAUUAGGUUGUUUUAUUUAUUUCAAAAUCCUAAAUUAUUUCCAGAAAUCAUCAAAACAACCUUACGUCCAUUCAUCGUCCGAACGAGCACCAUCGAAUCGGGCCGUAAUGUAAAUAUAAAUUAGCAAGUUGACGGCAAGCUAAAACACGCUUCAGCCGGUAUUAUAACGCAUUUGAAGUCAGCAAGUGAAUUUAAAAUAGUGUAUUGGAAGCCAUUAUUACUUGAUUUUUACAAGUAAUUGCCAAAAUGCCUCAAUUUGCUCGUUUUGUUGACAAAAUAAGUUAUUUUCAUCAAGUACCGGUUUGUUAUUGCAUCUCAAAUUUUUGACUCUCCAAUCGCCAUCACUUAAAAUAUUAUUAUUCACGAACUUCUGGAUUAUAUUUACGAAACAACCCACCGUUGAAAAGCUGAAUGUCUAAGCUUUAAAAUGAAUGUAAACCUGAACGUUCUGCUUUAAUAUUCGUUUCGAUAGUUAUAUUUGAAGCGAGGACUCCGUUUUUUAUGAUACACCCUGUAUACUGAUUUAAAUUUCUUGUGUUUGCCAUCACAAAUAUUUUCCAACAAUUGUAUCGUGCAUCCAAACGGUUGUAUGCAUCAAAGUGACACCCUGAGUAACUAUGUUGCCUAAAUGUUAUGUACAUUGUCUAACGCCAUAUACAAACCAUCAUAAUAACUUGAUGACUAAUGAUGACUAAUCGAGGAUAUUGUCAUAUUGGGGCAUUUUGUGUAUACCAUAAAUGAUCCACGAAAUGCCAUGCAUAUUUCUAAUAAACGCUCUGG